rnacentral:rRNA from 1 species
AUUGAACGCUGGCGGCAGGCCUAACACAUGCAAGUCGAACGGUAACAGGAAGCAGCUUGCUGCUUCGCUGACGAGUGGCGGACGGGUGAGUAAUGUCUGGGAAGCUGCCUGAUGGAGGGGGAUAACUACUGGAAACGGUAGCUAAUACCGCAUAAUGUCGCAAGACCAAAGAGGGGGACCUUCGGGCCUCUUGCCAUCGGAUGUGCCCAGAUGGGAUUAGCUUGUUGGUGGGGUAACGGCUCACCAAGGCGACGAUCCCUAGUUGGUCUGAGAGGAUGACCAGCCACACUGGAACUGAGACACGGUCCAGACUCCUACGGGAGGCAGCAGUGGGGAAUAUUGCACAAAGGGCGCAAGCCUGAUGCAGCCAUGCCGCGUGUAUGAAGAAGGCCUUCGGGUUGUAAAGUACUUUCAGCGGGGAGGAAGGGAGUAAAGUUAAUACCUUUGCUCAUUGACGUUACCCGCAGAAGAAGCACCGGCUAACUCCGUG